CAGGUAGAGAAUACCAAGGCGCUUGAGAGAACUCGGGUGAAGGAACUAGGCAAAAUGGUGCCGUAACUUCGGGAGAAGGCACGCUGACACGUAGGUGAAGUGAUUUACUCACGGAGCUGAAGUCAGUCGAAGAUACCAGCUGGCUGCAACUGUUUAUUAAAAACACAGCACUGUGCAAACACGAAAGUGGACGUAUACGGUGUGACGCCUGCCCGGUGCCGGA
rnacentral:rRNA from 1 species